AAGCCCUUUUCCGGAGGAUCCCUUAUUCCUACUUGAUCCCUUAUCCCUUUCAAGUAGGAAUAAGGGAUCCUCCGGAAAAGGGCUU
rnacentral:pre_miRNA from 18 species